UUACAACUUAUCAUGGUUAUGAGAUCUGUUUCUAGACGCGAGGUAGAAUUUUGGUGUGCCCCUGAAGUUGGGUAGUAGAGGUGGGUGUUGGUAGCUUUUGGCCCGGGGCUAUCUGUAGUGUUCAACGUUAUUCUGCACCUUUUGUUUACUAGUAAAUUGUAUGUGCUUUGCACGUCACUUAAAUAUAUAAAAGCAUGGGAAAAUACAUUUGAAUAUGUAUUUCCUUUCCUAGAAUCAUAUUAGACAAGAUCCAACUUGUUGGUUAUUAGUCCCAGUUUUGUAAGAUUCUCCCAGAACCUGACCCCUUCCUAGCUUCGCUCAGAAUCUUUGAGCCGCAUUUGUUUUAUUAUCCUAUUUAGUUAGGGUCUAAUUAGCUAGGAUUCUAAAACAAAUGGUGUCAAAGAUUCUGAAAGAAGUUAAUGAGGGGUCAGACUCCGGGAGAAUCUUUCAAAAGACCUGGGUCUUAUCUCUCUAGAAUAGAUUGUUCUAGUCUCUUUUUAUUGGAGUAUCAGAUAAGCAUGUCGAAAGGUACUUUUAAAAAACAUGAGAUGGUAGAAUUGGGGGUUCAGUUAUUCUUCUAUAACAAAAACAACACAUCCACACACACAGGCUUCAUAACCAACACAUCCACACACACAGGCUUCAUAACCAGUGUGGCGUGUCGCCAUGUCUAAGAGUAUCUCUAAAAGACCCCGUAUACGGCCCUUAUUGCGGAUAAGGGCCGAGAAAUCGGAGAUUUAUGGGUCGCGCGUUGCUGUGCGGCCAAACAGAGUCCGUAUUUGAAACCGAUUUUCUUUAAAAGUAUUCCGAUAAGAAGUGGAGAACACAACUACAUUCAUGGGUUGAUCAUCGCUAUAUAGAAAGUUAUUUUACAUAGUGCAUUCGCACCGGGUGCGGCCCUACUACAUUCGCAAAAUCGGAGCUCACUGCCAUCCCUCCUCCGCUCACUCGUCGUUGUCGGAGGAGACAAGAUCGAUGUACUUCUUGUCUUGCUCCUCCUGCUCGCGGCGCAAUUGAGCCGAGGUCGCUGAGCUCCUCGCCCCCCAGGCGACGUGCCUCCUCUCCUCUUGUUCGCGCGCAGAGCGCUCGGCGAGCACCGCUUCGAAGGCGUCCGUGUUCGGCCCGGCGAGGUAGUCCUUCAGGCUGGUGACGUCGCAGCUGCGCGGGGGCUCCUCCCUUCCUUCGAUCUUGAUGGCGCGGAGUGGAGUGAGCUCGCCGUGCUCCCUCUUCACUGGCACGGAGUAGAGGUGGUGUUGGUGCCUUCUGGCCUGGGGCUAUCUGUAGUGUUCAACGUUAUUCUGCACCUUUUGUUUACUACUAGCUCCGUCCGAAAACACUUGUCAUCAAAAUGAAUGUAUGUAGAACUAAAAUACAUCUAGAUACAUCCCCUUUUAUUCAUUUUGAUGACAAGUAUUUCCGGACGGAGGGAAUAGUAAAUUGUAUGUGCUUUGCACGUCACUUAAAUAUAUAAAAGCAUGGGAAAAUAUAUUUGAAUAUGUAUUUCCUUUCCUAGAAUCAUAUUAGACAAGAUCCAACUUGGUUCUUAGU
rnacentral:lncRNA from 1 species